UAAGUAUCGAGGCAGAGCCUUGCACAGAGA
rnacentral:piRNA from 1 species